rnacentral:snoRNA from 10 species
CCUAAAGAUGUCCCUUUUUAAUAUCCCUUUUAAUGCUGGAGAUUAUCUAAAGGCUUUCAAUCUUUCUGUUUAAAAUAUUCACCACAGAGCUUAAACUAGGUGU